AUUGUUUCUCAGCCUUUUGGCUGUGAUCAAGUGUAGUAUCUGUUCUUAUCAGUUUAAUAUCUGAUAUGUCCUAGAUUAGAGGACUUAAUUUUAAAUGGAUUUUUGAGCAUGGGAUUUGGAUCUUGAGCUUGCUUUCUUCACUCUGCCCUUUUUAGUCAGCAGUGUGCACUUGCAGCCCAGAAAGCCAACC